rnacentral:rRNA from 1 species
GACGAACGCUGGCGGCGUGCUUAACACAUGCAAGUCGAACGGAAAGGCCCUGCUUUUGUGGGGUGCUCGAGUGGCGAACGGGUGAGUAACACGUGAGUAACCUGCCCUUGACUUUGGGAUAACUUCAGGAAACUGGGGCUAAUACCGGAUAGGAGCUCCUGCUGCAUGGUGGGGGUUGGAAAGUUUCGGCGGUUGGGGAUGGACUCGCGGCUUAUCAGCUUGUUGGUGGGGUAGUGGCUUACCAAGGCUUUGACGGGUAGCCGGCCUGAGAGGGUGACCGGCCACAUUGGGACUGAGAUACGGCCCAGACUCCUACGGGAGGCAGCAGGGGGGAAUAUUGCACAAUGGGCGGAAGCCUGAUGCAGCAACGCCGCGGGCGGGAUGACGGCCUUCGGGUUGUAAACCGCUUUCGCCUGUGACGAAGCGUGAGUGACGGUAAUGGGUAAAGAAGCACCGGCUAACUACGUG